GAUGAACGCUAGCGGGAGGCCUAACACAUGCAAGCCGAGCGGUAGAGUCUCUUCGGAGACUUGAGAGCGGCGCACGGGUGCUGAACACGUGUGCAACCUGCCUUUAUCUGGGGGAUAGCCUUUCGAAAGGAAGAUUAAUACCCCAUAAUAUACUGGAUGGCAUCAUCUGGUAUUGAAAACUCCGGUGGAUAGAGAUGGGCACGCGCAAGAUUAGAUAGUUGGUGAGGUAACGGCUCACCAAGUCAGCGAUCUUUAGGGGGCCUGAGAGGGUGAUCCCCCACACUGGUACUGAGACACGGACCAGACUCCUACGGGAGGCAGCAGUGAGGAAUAUUGGACAAUGGGUGAGAGCCUGAUCCAGCCAUCCCGCGUGAAGGACGACGGCCCUAUGGGUUGUAAACUUCUUUUGUAUAGGGAUAAACCUAGAUACGUGUAUCUAGCUGAAGGUACUAUACGAAUAAGCACCGGCUAACUCCGUG
rnacentral:rRNA from 1 species